rnacentral:lncRNA from 1 species
AUGCUUCAUCUCUGCUGAGACCCAGUGCCUUCCACUGAAGGUGCUCAGGAAAUACCUUCUGAAUGAUCAGAAGCCCCUGCUAUCUGCUAAACUGGAUCUAUGAUGACAGAAGCCGAGGAAUGUGAGGUUCAUCUAGAGAGCUCUUGUGAGUUUUCCAAGGGAGGCACCUGUUGAACUCAGGCAUGGGCAUGUGACUUGAUUUGGUCAAUGAAAUGUGAGAGAAGUGACAUCCACUUUGAGGCAGGCACUUUCCAAUUUCAGUCUCUAGAGAUUCCAGAGUCUGGGAUCUGGGUUGGGGUGAAGGGAGGCAUGGUUUUGCCACAGCCUGCCCUGUACUGCUGAAUUCUCCUGCGUGUGCUCAAGUGCUUGCAAAUGAAAGGUCAUCUGGGCCUUGAUCAGUCGUGUGGCCUGUGGAUGAUGCCAUCAAGCUGAGAUGUGAAGUGGAAGUGAGGCAGAGGCUGCCUUCCUUUUGUUUGGCGCAGCGUUCUGUGAGAGAGCAGAGGUGGGAGAUGAGGGGACCUCUGCCCCAGUGUUUCUGCAUCCAAGCUCCAGCAUUGUUGAAGGUUGCUCUGACAGCCACUCUCCAUACUGCUGCCAGAAGGACCUUCAAAUAUCGCUCUUUUUAAUUAAAAAGCAAAACUCUUCCA